rnacentral:lncRNA from 1 species
AAGAGACUCUGGAAUCCCUCUUACCACCAUGAAGGCAACGUCUGCCUGAGGAUAAAAGAAAGAAGAUCAGGAAAUGAAGUCAGGCUGCAAUCAGGAGAGAGAAAUACCAUCAGAAAUUUAACGAGAAAAAAUGUAAUAUAAAGAGUUAUCAACUGGUAAUAAGGAACUAGCAACUGGGACUGGGAGGAGAUAAAAGAGAACUCUGAAGAAUAACCUAAGAGUCGGGGAGAGUGACCAAGAAAAGAACAAACUUGGAAGCUUAAUAGCGUAUCCAUAUUUUGCGGGAUUUCUGAAGGAGCUGCAUGGGUUCCAGUUGCCCUACUAAUUGAAUGAAUUUGGAAACUCGUGCUUGACCUGAACCCUCGGGCGGCGCCGUUCCCAGUGGGGAAAGAGACUGUUUGGAGACAUCGCCCUCCAGUGACAGCACUCGGGAACUGUUGAGAGGCCUGGGUACACCUUUGCUUCCCAUUGAUUGUUCCUCUAAGAACAGGGGUGCUCUGAGCCCGUUCCAGCCUGUGAAAGCUCCCUUGAGUUCGUUGUACGUUUGUCCUUGCCCGGAUGUGUCGGCAACACGCUUGGAGGCAUAAACAGAACAAAACUUCAGACGUGUUCUUAACUGUCAGGAGUAACAGUUGCAGAUAAAAGCUGCAGAAUUGCUCAAUACUGGGAAGGCUGAGCACAACUAGAAUUAUUCCGAUCCAAGGCAUGCCCUCACUCCUCACAGGAUGGCAAGGAGAAACGAUCAAUCGCUUAAGUAAUAAAAAACAUCCAAAUCAGACCCGUCUGCAGUCAGAAUCCACAGCAGUCCUUCCGCAGCACAGCAGUCCUUCUGCAGCACAGCACUGCCUCCGCCGGCCGCCUUCCUUCCCUCGGAACUGAGCCCAUCCAGGGCUGCAGAGCGGCCUGCAGUCCCUGGUGGCAACAGCACUUAGCGGCGCCUCAUGUUUAAUGCAAGCAAGCUUCGGAAACAGGAAAGCUUUCAAGAUACAGCUGAAGAUGCACGAGCGCUGCCCUUUACAGAGCAAACACGAAUGUACAAAACCAACGUGGGUUUUCCUGUGUUACAAUAAUUGUGUUCUCAUCUGUACAGAUUUAAGCUAACCGCUUCUGUCAGAAGAAAGGAGAAAUCUAUAUCCAAGGGCCUCUGUGGCCUAGAGAGGCCUGAGUCACCUCUGCUUUUUGAGUCUCCUAGUAAUUUUAAAAUGAAAAAAUUCCGGCCGGGCGCGAUGGCUCAUGCCUGUAAUCCCAGAACUUUGGGAGGCAGAGGCGGGCGGAUCUCCUGAGGUCAGGAGUUCGAGACCAGCCUGGCUAACAUGGUGAAACCCCAUUUCUACUAAAAACACAAAAAAUUAGCGGGGCAUGGUGGCACGCGCCUGUAAUCCCAGCUGCUCAGGAGGCAGAGACAGAAGAAUCGCUUGAACCCGGGAGGCGGAGGUUGCACUGAGCCAAGAUUGUGCCACUGCACUCCAGCUUGGGCAACAACAGCGAAACUCCAUCUCCAAAAAGAAAAACGAAAAAAUACUAAAAUAGGUUAUACAAUUUGUAGUUCAUUUGUAAAUGCUCAUCAUUAGCAAGUUAAUAUUUUUAGCACAAAAGAGAUAAUGCAAUAUAAUUGUGCUAGUUACUAGCUAAUUACAGGAUUUGUAAAAAGUAAUCAUUCCUAGUGUGCUAUAAGUAAUGGGGCACAGGUGUAUAGCUGUAUUUUGAAUAACUUCUUUAACCUGUUAGGAUGUGAUUCCUUUGGGAAAAAAAA